rnacentral:rRNA from 1 species
UACCAGCACCCCGAGUGGUCGGGACGAUUAUUGGGCCUAAAGCGUCCGUAGCCGGUUCUACAAGUCUUCCGUUAAAUCCACCUGCUUAACAGAUGGGCUGCGGAGGAUACUAUAGAGCUAGGAGGCGGGAGAGGCAAGCGGUACUUAGUGGGUAGGGGUAAAAUCCGUUGAUCCAUUGAAGACCACCAGUGGCGAAGGCGGCUUGCCAGAACACACUCGACGGUGAGGGAUGAAAGCUGGGGGAGCAAACCGG